UAUCUGAUAUAAGCCUAUGUUACAUAAAUAUGUAACUAUGAUUGCUUGAGAAUGAUUGAUUGAAAUCAUUCUGAUUCAAACAUUAUCAAUUGCUUCCAAACAAUCGCCGUUUUUUCUAGCGCCUCUCAUCUUGUUGAUUGUUACCAAAAUCGUCUUCAACAAAGUCUUCUGUUGACAAAUUCUCACCGGAAGGCAAAUCCAACUCAUGGAGCAAUUUCUCGAAAGCAAAUAGAAGAAUCGAACAGAGAACGAAGUGGUAGGUCGAGAAGACGGCGGAAAGGAAAGGAGAAAAGGAUUCACGCGAUGCAUGAUGACCGUCGGUGCACAGAGGAAAAGAACGAACGAAAAGAAGAGGAAAAAGAAAGGGAAAGACAGAGGAGUAAGAGGAGGUUGCACCGAGGACGCUCCCAUACCAUGAAAAAUCAGGUACACACCAAUGUGGCCCUCCAUGACGGCGAUGUCAGAGGCUUUACUUGCCCUUGGCUGUUGCCAAGUGCAUUGGCAAGACGGCGAUGCAGCAUCUCUACAGACCUCUCGUGGCUCUUUUUCUUAUUGCAUACCCCACCGUGGCGACCCUCAGCGGACAGACGGAGAGCUUUGCCUUCGCUACGUGUAGGCGUAUGUACUGUGCAGGGCCGUGCCGUUAUGAAUUUGAACCUUCGAAAUUUAAACGAGUCGGAGAAACUUGAUCGCUAGUCCCUUAGAGGCUUAUGAUGUUAUUAUUCACGCUAAUAAUGAAUCUAUAGCUUACAAUAUUGGAGACAUCUGGUGAUCAAAAAAGGAAGCUUAUGGUAUUUUUUACUAAUAGAAGUGGCUGGCUAUGGCAUCCCAUCGAAGCCCAGUCCCAAGUUGUUCAGCAUUGCUCACUAACUGUUUUAAUACAGCAUCCUGAAAUCCAUUUGAAACAGAACAUAAGCAGACCACGACCGCGUUUCCGCUGCAAACAGCUAUGUAUAUCGUAUGAACUUUUGCCAAACGGCGUUCGUUUAACUCUUUUGUUCCAUCAAAACUGCAGACAUCGCUGUGACGUCCAGUCCAACGAUGUACAUAAUUCAUUAAUCAUUAAAUAUUAUUCA
rnacentral:lncRNA from 1 species